GUGCAUGCCUGUAAUCCCAGCUACCCAGGAGGCUGAGGCAGGAUAAUCUCUUGAACUGAGGAGGUGGAGGUAGCAGUGAGCUGAGAUCACGCCAUUGUACCCCAGCCUGGGCGACAGAGCAAGACUCCAUCUCAAAAAAAAACCACAAAAAUCCACUCAUAUAAAGGGUGAGCUCAGCUCACUGGUCCACUUCUCAGUGCCUUCUCCAUCCUCAUUUGCAAACCUCAGAGGGAUAAAGCAGUUGAACCCGAUGAGCAAGAAUUAUAACAGCAAGGAAUCAUUAAUGUUUAGAAUUCUGAGGUCCAGCACAACUCAGUCUCUAGGAGCUCAGCUCACUGCCCAGGGAUAGGUAUGACCUAUGUCUGCCUUAGGCUGCUGGGAGAAGCCAUUCUCCAGUUUCAGAAGCAGGCAGGGCAAAGGUCAAGACUGUGGUAUUGGAGUCUUUUGGCUCUGAAGGAUCCUGGAACCACUGAUUUUGGUUUAUUCCCUCCAGGGUCUAAAGAGAAAAAGAGGUGCUAGCUCUUACCAAAACAGAUGGUAGAGAGUUGCUGGCUAUUUAAAAGCCCUUUCAUCUUUUAAUUCACUUCUUUUCACUUCUUAACCACCCCACAGGAACAGAACAUUCCUAGGACUGGGAGUCUUACUUUUAGCUCCAUAAGCAAGUGAGCAGAUGGGACAGGUUAGUCUUUUCUCCCUAGAAACAAAGGGCAUGUCUGGUGGUUUCCCUUUGCUUCCCAACCUAAAAUUUCAAGUUUAAUAAAAUAGCAGUUAGCAUAAGUGACCAAAUUGGGAGAUAAUUAUCAAUCAUGAGGAAAGAUACACAUUUCAGUCAUAAAGAAUGUAAGGGCUAUAAGCACAAACUUUCUAUAACCUAAAUGAUGUUAUAGCAUUAGUAUUUUUUAGCAGGAGCAGAAAGAUUAAAUAUGAUCACUUCAUACUUCUAAAUCAGAAAUAGGAAGAUUAAAACCACAGAACAGUUUGUGACUGCUGUUGCUAUAGCUAGGUAUCUUACUCUGUCCACUCUUGUUCAAGUAUCUAACCCUUCUGGAGACCAAAUAGGCUUUAGAAGAGAUUAUCCUAAAUUCCUAUCAGUGUAAUACUAAACUAUAACUUUUUAAUCAUCUGGUUUUUAAAAGAUAAACACAGUUUAGCCCAUCUCUCCAGAGAGCAAACAUAGGAAUAUGCCUCAGGAGCCUUUACUCCUAGGGUUUAUCAUCAGCCCUCAUACCCGUUUCCCCCUCCAACCCACAGUCUUUGCUUCCAGGUGGGGGGAUUACUUCUUUGCCUCUUCAGCAGCAUCUACUCUAGGCAUACUGAUCACUUUGGACACUGGGAGAAGAGAACCUCAAACUAGGAAGAGGGAGCCUACAUUUAGUUUUGGGAGGGGAUGACAGACAGCAAGGAGAUGAGCGUCCUAAGGCAUGCUGGGAUAGGGUCAGAGGCACCACCCAUGGAGAGGUUUGUCAACACAAAGACAUGGAAGGUUAGAGGUUUGUCAACACAAAGACGUGGAAGGUUAGAGGUUUGUCAACACAAAGACAUGGAAGGUUAGAGGUUUGUCAACACAAAGACGUGGAAGGUUAGAGGUUUGUCAACACAAAGACACGGGAAGAAUGGGCUGCAGAAGAUUUAGAUGUUUUCCAUUUGGGCACAUUUAACUUAGCUGGAUAACUUGGUUUAAAACAGCCUGGGUAGGAAAAUUAGAAGCAAGCUGGGUGCAGUGGCUCAUGCCUGUAAUCCCAACACUUUUGGGAGGUCCAGGCAGGAGGAUCGCUUGGGCCCAGGAGGUCAAGCCUGCAGUGAGCUGAGAUCUCCACUGCACUACAGACUAGGGUGAUAGAACAAGACCCUGUCUCAAAAAAAAAAAAAAAGAAAAGAAAAAAAAAAAAAUAGAAGCAGAAUUGAGGAGCUGUACCUCAUUGGCUUCCUGACUCCAAAAUAGGUGCUGAUCCUUCCUAUUUGCCACCUAAGGUUUGUGUGUGGUGUCACCAGCCUGUUUAGCCAAAUGGCUUUGGGCCUAGGCUGCCCAAUCUGAGCAAACACCAGUGAGGCUCUAUUGAGCCAAGACUAGGUCCUCAAAGCACCUGAACCACUGUGGCCUUCUCAGCCUCCAGCACAGUGGUCUCUCACAUGGCCACAAAGGGACACUGACAAAAGGCUCAGAAUGUUAGUGGUAAAAUGAGUGAUCUCAAAUCUACUGACAGAUGUAAAAUAGGCUUAGAGAGGAAAAGCUGCCUCUGGUCAAACAGAUCAUGGCAGAACGAAUUCCAACUCACUUUUUUACAACUCCAACUUCUAUGUUUAUCUUUGUUCAUUUUUUUUACAACCUGGCCAGAGGCAUUUUUUUAAUCAGGUCCAAUAUCAGUACCUUUUUGUGUGUGCCAAUUUUAUUAUCACAUCCCUGUGAAGUUGAAAAAUAAAGUUAAUUUUGACCAAAAGA